CGUACACUCCUGCGGGAGGCAGCAGUGGGGAAUUUUGGACAAUGGGCGCAAGCCUGAUCCAGCCAUGCCGCGUGCGGGAAGAAGGCCUUCGGGUUGUAAACCGCUUUUGUCAGGGAAGAAAAGGUUCUGGCUAAUACCUGGGACUCAUGACGGUACCUGAAGAAUAAGCACCGGCUAACUACGUGCCAGCAGCCGCGGUAAUACGUAGGGUGCAAGCGUUAAUCGGAAUUACUGGGCGUAAAGCGUGCGCAGGCGGUUAUGCAAGACAGAGGUGAAAUCCCCGGGCUCAACCUGGGAACUGCCUUUGUGACUGCAUGGCUAGAGUACGGUAGAGGGGGAUGGAAUUCCGCGUGUAGCAGUGAAAUGCGUAGAUAUGCGGAGGAACACCGAUGGCGAAGGCAAUCCCCUGGACCUGUACUGACGCUCAUGCACGAAAGCGUGGGGAGCAAACAGGAUUAGAAACCCUAGUAGUCCCAUGA
rnacentral:rRNA from 1 species